UGCGGUGAAUUCAGGAAGCUCGAUUCGUAGAACCUUGUCCACAGGGGCAUGCGGAUUUAAAUCAAAAUGUGGAACUAAGCUUGUAGACGCUGACCCAAGGGGUUUUCGGACGCGGGUUCGACUCCCGCCACCUCCACCA
rnacentral:tmRNA from 1 species